rnacentral:rRNA from 1 species
UACGUAGGGCGCAAGCGUUGUCCGGAAUUAUUGGGCGUAAAGAGCUCGUAGGCGGUCUGUCGCGUCUGCUGUGAAAUCCCGAGGCUCAACCUCGGGCUUGCAGUGGGUACGGGCAGACUAGAGUGCGGUAGGGGAGAAUGGAAUUCCUGGUGUAGCGGUGGAAUGCGCAGAUAUCAGGAGGAACACCGAUGGCGAAGGCAGUUCUCUGGGCCGUAACUGACGCUGAGGAGCGAAAGCGUGGGGAGCGAACAGGAUUAGAUACCCGCGUAGUCC